GCUGAUAUGGCUCAGUUGGUAGAGCGCACCCUUGGUAAGGGUGAGGUCCCCAGUUCGACUCUGGGUAUCAGCACCAGUU
rnacentral:tRNA from 1 species